GGGUAUACGGUAAUUGAUUGCUUGGCAACUAAGCAGGGAUCGCUAAGCGUAUCACGGAGGGGCCUCAAUGGAAACAUAAUUUUAUUCCGUACCAAAAAAAGUAUUUAAUAAUCGUAAAUAAAUAUCCACAAAAUUUCGAAGUGAAGUGAAGUUGAAGACAUUCAAGGUGGCAUCCCGAAUGGAGCGUAACUUCAAAAUUACAGAAUAUCACACAUAAAUAAGUAGUUGAGUGGUGUGGCGUUGCUUUGGUGAGGAAUGUCUUAACUGAGGUAGGACAGAGCAGGAAAUAUCCUGCUCAAAAUCUGGGCAGCCUGACUCAGGAAGUACCUCCGUCGUCACGUCACGAAGCUUUAUCGUGUCACGUUCACAU
rnacentral:misc_RNA from 1 species